GGCAGUUCUCGGGUGGCGCAACCCGGAAUCUGGCUCCCUCCUCUCUGGGUCCAAGUGCUUCACCCAAGAAACGCA
rfam:Myotis lucifugus cont2.3843, whole genome shotgun sequence.